GGAUUAUCACGCAAUGAAAUGUCAAGAAAGAUAUUAAGAUUAUCAGUUUAAUCGGAUGAAAAUAAAACAAACUACUAUAUUUAUCUGUGUGGUAAAGUGUUGGUUCUCUAUAACAUGAUCGAGGACAUCGAGUUCGUCGACACUUCCAAGACGAUGGGCACCCACAAAUAUCCCAUUCUCUAUUUUACGUUACACUGUACAAUGUGCAUCCACACCCUAAUUAACAAUUUGAAAAGUAUGACCAUAAAGAUAACACCUUAGCUUUAUAUAAGACUUAACAAGUGUCUCCUCAGCAAAACUUUUGAUCUAUAUAAUGUUAGUUUUACCUAAAAGGUUGCAACGUUUCUCACCAGAACUGAAAGUCAACCAGCAGAGAUAUUAAAAAAUAAAAACAGAUAGUUAACCAGCAGAGAUAUUCAAAAAUAAAAUCUUUCUAUUUGUAUAUUACUUAUAUAUCAUACUUAGAGAGACUCUCAACGAAUCCCUCAUGUACAAUGAAUCGAUUCGUCAUAGUACAAAGAUACUGAAUGAAUCCCUGACGUAAAAUCGAUCAAACCCUGAUGUAAAAUAGAUGAAUCCCUAAUGUAAAAUGGUUCAAUCUGAUGUAAAAUGCAUGAAUCCAUGAUGUAAAAUGGAUCAAUCUGAUGUAAAAUAGGUCAAUCCCGCAUGUAAAUUAGAUAGAUCCCUGAUGUAAAAUAGAUCAUUACCGGAUGUAAAAUAGAUCAAUCCCGGAUGUAAAAUAGGUCAAUCCCUCAUGUAAAAUAGAUCAAUCCCUGAUGAAAAUGAAUCAAUCUUUGAUGUAAAAUAGGUCAAUCCCUUAUGUAAGAUAGGUCAACCCCUGAUAUAAAAUAGACCCCUAAUGUAAAUUGGAUCAAUCCCUCAUGUAAAAUAGAUCAAUCCCUUGUGAUAAAUUGGUCUAAUAUAAAACAGAAAAGUACACAUAGACACGAGAUUCAUGACUAUGACCACGUAAAAACAUUACAUAAGUUUGACGAAGGAGAUUUGUGUAAUAUUUACUAUAUCUAAACAGAUAUCUUCAAAAAAUCUCUACCACUUCUUUUGGCGAUUAUUCAAUACCUUUAAUGACAAGUUACGUAAUAUUAGGUUUUAAUAUGAAGACGGGUAUGCACAUAGAAAGCACAAGCAAAUACGUACCGUCGCAUACCACCCGUUAGAAAUUGAACCCUGGGUCAAGUUUUAAGGAGAUAAUGAUCGAAGUAUUGAUAUGUUUAUAGGUAAAAAUCAAAUGGUACCGUGCAACCGAUAUUGUUACAAAUAUUUUAAACGGAAUACUUGAAAACAAAUGGAAUUUGAAAAAUGUGUUUCUUGUAUGAUUUUCUAUCAUUAUUUCCUGGUGUAUUAUUUUUAAUCUCUCUGCAAUAUGUUUUCGAAAUGAACAGUUAUUAUAUUUGAAUUUUCUAAAUCACUUGUUAGGAAUUUGUAUAUGUUUUUUCUUUAAUAAUCAACUGUAUAAAUCAGUGUUGUGUUACUUGCUAAACAUUUAUAUUCCUCCUACAAGUUUUUCAUCAGAGCAAAAAAAAAAAAAAAAAAUACAUGCAUAUAUUACGAAACAGUUAAAAGUUAUACCUUUGUUUUUGAGAUAUAAUCUAACAAUGUCCGUGGGCAUAGAGAUAGUACAACUAAGAACUUCGGCUUAUCACUGAAUGUUUAGUCCCUGGUCUUGAUUUAUCAGCAGAAAUCCAAAGUUAUGAAAUCAGCUUAUUCAUGCAAAAUGAUAUAACAGUGAUGAAAUCAGCUUAUUAAUGCAAAAUGAUAUAACAGUGGGAUAAUCUUAACACCAACCCACGUUGUUCGUGUUACUCAUUCGAAUUGCAUUUGUGGUAGAAGAAACUUCUUUUUUUGGUGUUAUAAAAGUUUCAAAAAGUGUGCUUGAACUUCCCAGUUGUGUAUAUUAUAAAACAAAAAAGCAUCAUUUCGCCGUUUCACUAUCUUAAGUAUGUUAUGGUUAUUUUCACUUUCAACAUUCAAAUUGUUGUUAAUCAAACGCCAUUAUAUCAACGGGUUCAUCUUUUAGCCGGUA
rnacentral:lncRNA from 1 species